AACGAACGCUGGCGGCAUGCCUAACACAUGCAAGUCGAACGAGACCUUCGGGUCUAGUGGCGCACGGGUGCGUAACGCGUGGGAAUCUGCCCUUGGGUUCGGAAUAACAGUUGGAAACGACUGCUAAUACCGGAUGAUGACGUAAGUCCAAAGAUUUAUCGCCCAAGGAUGAGCCCGCGUAGGAUUAGCUAGUUGGUGAGGUAAAGGCUCACCAAGGCGACGAUCCUUAGCUGGUCUGAGAGGAUGAUCAGCCACACUGGGACUGAGACACGGCCCAGACUCCUACGGGAGGCAGCAGUGGGGAAUAUUGGACAAUGGGCGAAAGCCUGAUCCAGCAACGCCGCGUGAGUGAUGAAGGCCUUAGGGUUGUAAAGCUCUUUUACCCGGGAUGAUAAUGACAGUACCGGGAGAAUAAGCUCCGGCUAACUCCGUG
rnacentral:rRNA from 1 species